UUCUGGGCGGAUGCGUGUUCUGCUUGCGGCCCUUCAUUAUUGUUAUUUUCUGGGAGUUUGAGUGACGCUCCGUCGCAAUCCGGUUGCGGAAGUUCAGCGCUUUCGUUCGUUACCUGCCAAUCGGCAGGUGGCGUUUAGAUUUGUGGGACAACCAAUCGUCCGGGUCAACGUUACCAGAAUAGCGGACGCCGGACAGGAACCACCCGGCCGUUAUCGGGAGCAGGUGCUUCUCCCUGGCUUGAAGUCAGUGAGCGUGCGGACAUGUUGGUGCCUGGAGUGGUGAAUGGAUGUCCAGUAAACGCUGUGAUUGAUACAGGAUCCGCCGCUACAUUGUUGUCAGAGGAUUUUGUCGACCGCCUACCUAAGGAGCUGGAAAAGAAAACCUCUGACCAAGGCCCGAAGUUAAUUGGUGCCAAUUGGCAACCACCGCCGCCCGAGACGAGGAGGACACCGCUCGGGUAUUUGACAGAGCUCCGCCAGUUGGCGUGAUGGAAAGGCGCCAUCCGCCCCAGCUGUUUGGGAGUCCUGUGUGGCACGAGUAAGUGACUUCAGUGGUACUGACUGGAUUGGUUGUGUUCGAUAUUACAGUUAAUUUUUGGAACAAUUUUGCUAGGGACUCCAAUUUGACCUGCACUCGUUUAGUGAAAAUUUAAGCCAUAAUCUUAGUCUAAUUUAUUAAGUUGCUUAUAACACGAGGACGUGUUCUUUUCCGUGUAAGCGGGGGAUAUGUCGUAUCCAUACUAUUGACACGCGCCUUUUAGGCCUCUACGUGACAAGUCUGCCUGAUUUAGGUGUCUAAUUAUUUAUCUAUCUCCCAUAAACGGAUUCAUAGUCGCCUUUAUUUUAUGUCUUCACACAAAGCCUGGCGCCUUCCAUAUUAUGUAUACCCUGUUUUUCCUUAGCUGGCUCCUGCUCUUUGUGAUACAGUUUAUACACAUUAUUGCUAAGUUUUGGUACACUGCGGCAUGCGGGUGUACUAUGGUUCAUUAUUUGUCUUAUACUUCGUAGAUCUACGGGGGAUCAGCCUCCUGUACGUAGUUACAUAUUAUGGCAAUCACCUUUCUCUCUGUUUCUCUCUCUCUCUCUGUCUCUGUCUCUCUCUCUCUCUCUCUCUCUCUCUCUCUCUCUCUCUCUCUCUCUCUCUCUCUCUCUCUCUCUCUCUCUCUCUCUCUCUCUCUCUCUCUCUCUCUCUCUCUCUCUCUCUCUCUCUCUCUCUCUCUCUCUGUCUCUCUCUCUCUCUCUCUCUCUCUCUGUCUCUCUCUCUCUCCCUUGCCUUCCGCCUUUAUGCGGAAGCUUCGGCUUUCGUCGCUCUUGCCUUGUGAACUAAGUUACCUUCGUUGAAGAUGUGAGUAAACCUGAA